GGCUCAGAUUGAACGCUGGCGGCAUGCCUUACACAUGCAAGUCGAACGGCAGCGCGGGGCAACCUGGCGGCGAGUGGCGAACGGGUGAGUAAUAUAUCGGAACGUACCCUGGAGUGGGGGAUAACGUAGCGAAAGUUACGCUAAUACCGCAUACGAUCUAAGGAUGAAAGUGGGGGAUUCGCAAGAACCUCAUGCUCCUGGAGCGGCCGAUAUCUGAUUAGCUAGUUGGUGGGGUAAAGGCCUACCAAGGCAUCGAUCAGUAGCUGGUCUGAGAGGACGACCAGCCACACUGGGACUGAGACACGGCCCAGACUCCUACGGGAGGCAGCAGUGGGGAAUUUUGGACAAUGGGCGCAAGCCUGAUCCAGCAAUGCCGCGUGAGUGAAGAAGGCCUUCGGGUUGUAAAGCUCUUUUGUCAGGGAAGAAACGGGCCGGGUUAAUACCCUGGUCUAAUGACGGUACCUGAAGAAUAAGCACCGGCUAACUACGUGCCAGCAGCCGCGGUAAUACGUAGGGUGCAAGCGUUAAUCGGAAUUACUGGGCGUAAAGCGUGCGCAGGCGGUUGUGCAAGACCGAUGUGAAAUCCNCGGGCUUAACCUC
rnacentral:rRNA from 1 species